GACAGAGGUGCCGAGCGUUAGGCGGAAUCACUGGGCUUAAAGCGUGUGUAGGCGGGUCGUUAAGUGUCUUGUGAAAUCCCACCGCUCAACGGUGGAACUGCUGGGCAUACUGGCGAUCUUGAGCCACCUAGGGGCAGACGGAACAAGCGGUGGAGCGGUGAAAUGCGUAGAUAUCGCUUGGAACGCCGACGUGAAAACAGUCUGCUGGGGGUGUGCUGACGCUGAGACACGAAAGCCAGGGGAGCGAACGGG
rnacentral:rRNA from 1 species